UGGGAUUUCCUUAACAAAGAUUCUGAAUCUGAUACUUUGAGUAUGUUUCAAGAUGCUAUGGCUUCUGAUUCUAGAAUUUUUAAGAUUUCUCUUCAAGAGAACAAGCAUGUGUUUGAGGGUUUGGAGUCUCUUGUUGAUGUGGCUGGUGGAACUGGUGGUGUCACAAAACUCAUUCAUGAAGCAUUUCCNNNNNNNNNNNNNNNNUUGUUGCUAACUUAACUGGAAAUGAAAAUUUGAAUUUUGUUGGUGGUGAUAUGUUCAAAUCCAUUCCUCCUGCAGAUGCUGUUUUACUCAAGGUUUGCUUAUUUUCAUCAACUGUCUAUAAUAAUCAAUUCUCACUAAUUGAUUUCAUUUUAUUCAUGGUGUGCGUGUUAGCACGGAAAUAAUACUGACAUAUCUGAUUACAUUCAAUCACGUCUAUCAGUAACAUGUUGUGUCUGUGUUGUGGAAGUAGUUCGUAGUCUCACAUUGUUCAGGUUCUGGUCUGUUGAGUCUAUAAACGUGUUUGAACAUCCUCACUCGUUAAGCUAGCUUUUAGAAUGAGAUCCAAGUACAUUUAACAUGGUAUCAGAGCUGGGUUAAUGAUUCCAAUGUGGGAAUUGGACUCAGGUCCACGCUAGCAUAAGGGUGGGUGUUGAAGUUGUUUGGAGUCUCACAUUGUUCAGGUUCCUGGGUUGUGGGCUGUUGAGAUAAAUGUGUUUGCAAUGAGGAAUAAGGAUGAAUAGUAGCAACUAGUAACAAAUUAAGAUGCAUAUUUUGUUUCAACCAAAUGACUAAUUAAAUAUAUAAAUUGUUUAUAUUUCAGUGGGUUCUUCAUGAUUGGAAUGAUGAACAAUCCUUAAAGAUAUUGAAGAACAGCAAAGAAGCUAUUUCACACAAAGGGAAAGAUGGAAAAGUGAUUAUAAUCGACAUAUCAAUUGAUGAAACAAGUGAUGAUCAUGGAUUAACUGAGUUGCAAUUGGACUAUGACUUGGUGAUGCUUACAAUGUUUCUUGGUAAAGAAAGAACAAAGACAGAAUGGGAUAAACUCAUACGUGAUGCAGGUUUCAGCAGCUACAAGAUAUCUCCUAUAUCUGGUUUCAAGUCUCUCAUUGAAGUUUAUCCUUAAUUUUGAUUUGAUGUUGCUACAAUUUAGUGUGAACUAUGAAUUCAAUAAGUUUCUGUCUGGAGAGUACUCAAAUUAAUAAUGUUUAUUGUUUCCUCUAAAAAGUAACUUCCCAAACUUGUUCUUUGCAUGAAUGGAGAUCAUUGUUGAUUGUUCCCUGCUAAAAAUGUAGUGUUUGCCUUUUUGGUAGACCAAAAUGCACGAUAGAAUAUUCGGAAACUGAACAAUAAAAUUACCUAAUAACAAUAAAUGAGUGUGGAAACUGAACAUAUUGAUGGCAUGAAAAAUCCGUCAAAUUAGGCCACCUUUAUGAAAAUAGUCAAUCAAGAGCAAAAUCCACACUUCUUAGUUGACGCUCAUGAACCCAAUUGAUGGCUUGAAAAAGACCAAGCGCCUCGCCUAAAUCCAUGUUGCACAUUGGUGUUAUCCAGUCUUUGCAAGCACACAAACCGACCUUCAUCAUCGCAAAUACACAUGCUGGCCUACACGAUCUUGUUGAGUCAAUAACGAUGCAUCCAUAUUGCACUUGUAUCUCCCUCUCGCCGGCUUUUCCCAUUUAAUUACCGAAGGAGCAGACACGCUGCUACUUAAGCAUGCAUUAUCACCUCGGCCUGCUGUCAUAUAUGCAGAGUUUUGCUGUCGCGGAAUGCUACCCUCAAUCAGUUGCAGUGCUCGAUCCACAAUUUGUGCACACGUUUCUGUUACAUUUUGCCAUAAACUCCGCAUAAAAUCAGAUACAGAGGUUUCUAUGCUUCCAUAAACUCCACAUAAUAACAGCCAUACGAGCAGAUUCAUAUGCAUUUAACUGCUACAGUAGCAGAAAAAUGGUGUCUGUAGUGCUACUUGUGUUGUUCAAUGUUCACAGCUCCCUUUGAUUCUACAAACUAUCAGCACGCCAAACUUUCCCAGACAAAGGACAAGCAAAUAAGAUGUACAAUAACUUCAUAGUCUUUGUCUCGCUGCACACAACACAAUUCGGUGGACAUUGAACUUCUUUGUCUCGUAGACGAGCAUGUCCGCCACACUAGAUUUUUAACCUUUGGAGGAACUUUCAGCCGCCAUAUACCAGACCAAUAACCAGGCUGCUUGAGAUGAGAAAUUUCAAUUAGCUCAUCAACAUAUAACCGAUACGCACUUUUUACAUAGUAAUUUCCUUUUUUUCAACUUUCCACACCAGCUUAUCCAUAGUUACUUGCUGAAUUUGUGGCGUUCUAAUCUAAAGCGCUAACCAUGUCAUGAUUCCAUUAUUUAGUUGAAUGAUCAAUGAGGUGCUCUACUGUAACAUUUUUUGAAGGUAUACUAAAUUAUGAUUAGGUAUCAUCAAAAUGCAUGCUCCAACUCCAAGGUUCCUCUAAAAUAUGAGUACUAAAUUAUUUGUUGUUACUCAACUUUUCUGAGUCAUUUUUAAAAAAGUUAAUUUGGAUUAACAAAUUUGGAUAUUUGAUUGUAGAACAUUUUGCACCAUAUACUGACUAUACUUAGUAAUAACAAUCAACAAAGAUAUGAUCAAGAGGGGCUAGGAAUCACAUAACCUCCACCAAGGUACUCCUUGCAACUCCAAGGCAAAGUGGGACUACUCACCCUUGGUCAUGUUGAGCAACCACAAGCAUAAACUAAUCUAAACUAAACUAAGAACAAGAACACAAAUAAUAAAUAAAUUUAUAAUCAAUACAAUUCCAAUUGGUUUCAAGAAUAAUUCUUAUUCAAUUUUAUGUUUUAAAAAUCGAUUUAAUUAUCCAUGUGAUCAAGGUAUUGGGCCGGUGAAUCACUAGUUGAAAACAAACUAUUGAUUUAAUCAAUAUUAAAAAAUAUAAAAUUCAUGAAAUUAUAAAAAACAAAAAUACUAUAAUUUAUUUAUUUUAUUCAUAAAUUAUAAAAAACAAAAAUACUAUAAUUUAUUUUCUAUAAUUUCAUCUUAAAAUCAUUUCAUCAAUUUAUUUAUUUUAUUCAUAAAUUAUAAAAAACAAAAAUACUAUAAUUUAUCUUCUAGAAUUUCAUCUUAAAAUAAACAUAUAUUGUGUAAAGUUCUACUUUAAAAAAUGAGCGUGUUAUACAUAUGGAAGAGUUGAGUUUUUACUAGAUGUGAAAGUACAUGAGAGUUAAUUAAAGUAGAUACUAAAAGUUGUGAUAGAAAGUUUUUCUUUUUGUGAUAGAAAAUAUUUAAAAGAUUAAAAUUGUCGAAUUUUUUUAUAGGAAUUAAAAAUAAAAUUUGAGAUAUUUAUACGGACUAAAAACUUAUUUAACCCUUAUAAAUAAAAAAAAACAAAUAAAACAUUAACUCAGGUUUCCGUUAUUUUAUCCCUGAUCGGAGUUAGACAUUUUUAUUUGUUUUAAAUUCAAUUUCUUUAUGCAGUAAUUUUUUUUAAAAGUCUUUAUGCAGUAGUUAAUGUGACUUGUGAAAGGGAGACAUAACAUUAACUUGAUGCUUGGAAAUAUAAAAUUUCAUUAAUUGAAAGUGGGGCAAAUUUGCUAAUAACAAAAAAUAUAUAUAAAAAUCUGUAAAAGUAAUUAUAACUACUAUGACAUACAGUAGAUAAUAGAGUACAUGUGGCAAACUUUUAUUGGUUCCAAAGUCAAUGUGGGCAAAUAAAUUACCCAUGUUACUUAGAAGGGAACCUAGAAAAAACAAAUAAGUAAUUAAUGUUUCAAAAACCGGUUUGCAUUGUGACUUACAUUGACACAGGGAAAACUUGACAUGCAGAUGGUCUAGGAGUUCAUUUUCAUGCAGAUGGUCUAGUAUUAUUUGCAACUAUGCAAUUGCAUACUCUUUCGGUCCCAUUUAUAAGUAAAUUUGACUUUUUUGAUAUAUUAAAAAAUGAAUAUAUAUGACUUAUAUUAUAAACCACAUGCAUCCAUUAUUCAAUGUAUCGAAAAACUCAAAUUUGCAUAUAAAUGUGACUAGAGAGAGUAUAAUAUAGAUAGAUAGAUUCUAUUCAACAUUUGAAACAUAUAAAAAGGUGCACACUAGUUAAUUUCUUCAUAUCCAUUUCUCUCAAAAACACAAUACAUCAACAAAGUUAACCCUCAAUAGAAAUGGCUUUGAGUACAAACGGUUCUGAAGAAAGUGAUCUGUAUCAUGCUCAAAUCCAUUUGUACAAACAUGUAUACAACUUUGUAAGUUCCAUGGCACUCAAAUCUGCUAUGGAACUUGGCAUAGCUGAUGCAAUCCAUAACCAUGGAAAACCAAUAACUCUUCCUGAAUUAGCCUCAUCUUUGAGACUUCACCCUUCAAAAGUUAACAUCCUAUAUCGAUUUUUGCGGUUGCUAACACACAAUGGUUUCUUUGCAAAAACAACAGUGAAAAGCAAAGAAGGGGAAGAAGAAAUAGCAUAUUCUCUUACACCAUCUUCAAAGCUUCUCAUAAGUGGAAAAUCAACAUGUUUAUCAGCAUAUAUUAAAGGAGCACUUCAUCAAAGUUCUAUAGACAUGUGGGGCUCUUCAGAGAAAUGGUUCAAUGAGGAUAAGGAACAACCUCUGUUUGAGUGUGCAAAAGGGAAGAGCUUUUGGGAUUUUCUUAACAAAGAUUCUGAUGCUUUGAGUAUGUUUCAAGAUGCUAUGGCUUCUGAUUCUAGAAUGUUUAAGCUUGAUCUUCAAGAGAACAAGCGUGUGUUUGAGGGUUUGGANNNNNNNNNNNNNNNNGUGGCUGGUGGAACUGGUGGUGUCACAAAACUCAUUCAUGAAGCUUUUCCUAACAUCAAAUGCACUGUUUUUGAUCAACCACAGGUUGUUGCUAACUUAACUGGAAAUGAAAAUUUGAACUUUCUUGGUGGUGAUAUGUUCAAAAGCAUCCCUCCUGCAGAUGCUGUUUUACUCAAGGUAUGUGUAUGUCUAUAAUAAUCAAUUUUUACUAAUUGAUUUCAUUUUAUUUUGUUCAUGGUUGUGUGUGUUAACAUGGACAUAAUACUGACAUAUCUGAUUACAUGCAAUCACGUCUAUCAGGAACAUGUUGUGUCUGUGUCGUUGAAGUAGUUUGUAGUCCCACAUUGUUCAGGUUUUUGGGCUGUUGAGUCUAUAAAUAUGUUUGAGCACCCUCAACCUUUAAGCUAGCUUUUAAGAUGAGAUCCAAGUUCAUUCAGCAUGGUAUUAGAGUCAUGUGUUUCGAUACUCUCACCCUUUGAGCUCAUUUAAACAUGGUUGUAUAUUUUGUUUCAACCAAAUAGCUAACUUAAAUAUAAAUUGUUUGUAUUACAGUGGGUUCUUCAUGAUUGGAAUGAUGAACAAUCCUUAAAGAUAUUGAAGAACAGCAAAGAAGCUAUUUCACACAAAGGGAAAGAUGGAAAAGUGAUUAUCAUCGACAUAUCAAUUGAUGAAACAAGUGAUGAUCAUGGAUUAACUGAAUUGCAAUUGGACUAUGACUUGGUGAUGCUUACAAUGUUUCUUGGUAAAGAAAGAACAAAGAAAGAAUGGGAUAAACUCAUACGUGAUGCAGGUUUCAGCAGCUACAAGAUAUCUCCUAUAUCUGGUUUCAAGUCUCUCAUUGAAGUUUAUCCUUAAUUUUAAUUUUAUGUUGCUACAAUUUAGUUUUAACUACAAAUUCAAUAAGUAUCUGUUUGGAGAGUACUCAGAUUAGUAAUGUUUAUUGUUUCGUCUUAAAAAUUAAUUUCCCAAACUUGUUCUUCGCAUACAUGGAAAUCAUUGUCCCCUACCCAAAAUGUAGUGUUUGGUAUAUCAAAAUGCAUUCGGAAACUGAACAAUAAAAUUACCUAAUAACAAUAAAUGAGUAAAACUUGUAAAAACCACCGAGACUUAGCCAAAAGUCAAGCCAAAAAUACUCAUAAUCAAAUAACGUAUAUAUGUCAGUACACCAAUAAAAAUAUUAGAGUUAGCUAGAGAAGGGCUACACUUACUAGAGCAUGAGCUACCUCUCGCUGGCUUUUCCCAUUUAAUUACCAAAGGACUAGACACACUGCUACUUAGACCUGCAUUAUCACCUCGGCCUGCUAUCACAGAUGCAGAUAUUUGCUGUCGCGGAAUGCUAUUGUUGGCCUGAACCCAACCCUCAAUCAGUUGCAAUGCUCGAUCCAAAAUUUGUGCACACGUUUGUUACAGUUUGCCAUAGCUUGAGGUUUCUAUGCUUCCAAAAACUUCACAUAAUAUUAAUAGCAGCCAUACGAGCUGAUUCAUGUGCAUUNNNNNNNNNNNNNNNNNNNNNNNNNNNNNNNNNNNNNNNNNNNNNNNNNNNNNNNNNCGGAUAGAUAGGAUUCUCUUGAGAAGAGUUUAUAAAGAGGAGGCAAUCCUCACCUUACAAGCCGGUUUUGUAAGGAUGAGUUAGGCCUCAACAUUCGUGACAAUAAGAUGUGUACAGUAUCUUCAUAGUUAUCGUUGCACACAACACAAUUCGGUGGACAUUGAACCCUUUGUCUCGUAGGUGAGCACAAGUUGGAAAGAAACCACGACAUAUCCACCACACUAGAUUCUUAACCUUUGGAGGAACUUUCAGCCACCAUAUAUAUAUACCAGACCAAUAACCAGCAGGCCGCUUGAGAUGAGAAAUAUCAAUUAGCUCAUCAACACAUAAAGCACUAACCAUGCAUGUCACGAUUCCAUUCUUUUGUUGAAUGAUCAAUGAAGUGUUCUACUUUAACAUUUUGAAGGUAUACUAAAUUAUGAUUAGCUAUAAAAAUGCAUGCUCCAUCAUUUUUUUUUUGAAUAAGCUAAAUUAGCCCACCCAAAUUGCAUGCUCCAUCAUUAAGCCAAGGUUCCUCUAAAAUAGGAAUACUAGCCCCUGGUCCAAUGCAUCUGUGAGAACCGGCAUGAACAAGAAAUUUAACAUUUGAUAUACUUCUCCACACAAAGCUUGAGUUAUGACCAUCUGACAACGAAAAACAAUUCCUAUGGGGAAAGUACCGUGCCUUGAAUAAAUGAGAGACAAGACUAUUUGGAUUAGAUUGGAGUUUCCAUCCUUGUUUUCCAUGCAUCGCAAGGUUGAAAGUUGUAAGGUCCUUAAGGCCCAUACCUCCACUGUUUUUAUGCACCGAGAGUUUUUCCCAAGACAGUCAGUGAAAGCCUAUAUUAUUGGAACCACCAUGAACCUACCAAAAUGCAUUCAUCAUCUUUUCAAUUGCAUCUAUCAGCAAGCUAGGAAUAAUAAAUAUGCUCAUAACAUAAGAUGGAAUAACUUGCAGAACUGAUUUAAUCAACACUUCUCGCCCUGCUUUAGAUAGACACUCGCUGCUCCACGAAUUGAUCUUGCGCCGAAAUCUAUCUUUAAUGAAAUUGAACGUGACCUUCUUGCUUCUACUGUCCAUUGAAGGUAAUCCAAAAUAUUUUCCGGUACCUAGCUAACACAGCUUGCACACUCAAUAUGUUGGUAAUAGAGUUAUUGAUCGCCUGCUACAAAAAAAAAUUCUGACUUUGGGAGGUUAAUAGCUUGUGCUAAAGUUGCUUCAUAAGUCUCUUAGUCUCCUAUAUAUUUUUCAUAGUUUAAGCUUCAUGCUCCUCAUCCCUGUAAAACAAAAAAGCAAUCAUCUACAAAUAAAAGGUGAGUGAUUUUUUUUGAACAAGCAAAAAAGGUGAGUGAUUAUUGGUGCAUUUCUACUAAUCUUGGUGCCAUGGAUAUUUCCCUGACCCUCCGCUUCUCUAAUGAGAGCUAAGAGCCCUUCAGCACAAAUAAUAAAGAGAUACGGUGAUAAAGGAUCUCCUUGCUGUAACCCACAACAUGGAAUAAAUGGACCAACCAUGUCAUCAUUGAUAAUCACAGAGUAAUCCACCGAUUCAACACACAUCAUAACCCAUCGAACCCAUUGUUGAGAGAAACUCAUCUUAACCAUCACCUCCUUAAGGUAAUCCCUGUCAAUUAGGUCGUAAGCUUUGCUAAUAUCAAGUUUGAGCGCAACAUUGUCCAGUUUACCUCUGGUUUUAGAUUUCAUGAAGUGAACUAUUUCAAAAGCCAUGAUUGCAUUAUUAUCAAGAAUUGAUCUCCCGUGGACAAAUGCAGAUUGGUUAUCCGAAAUGCAUUUAUCAAGAACUCUCUUCAGCCUAUUAGAGAGCACUUUGGAGGCUAAUUUAUAAAUAACAUUGCAAAGGGAAAUCAGUCUCCAAUCCUUCAUAGUCUUUUGUUCUUCACCUUUAGGAAUGAGGGCAAUAUUCGUCAUAUUGAGGGUAGCAUGGAAUUGACAUGUAUUGAGCCAAGAACAACACUCCUGAAAGAUAUCAUGACUACAUAAUUUCCAUCAGGUCCGAGACACUUUUUUGGUUUCAUAGAGAACAAAGCAUCUUUGAACUCUUCCAGAUUAAAAGGGGCUGUGAGAUACUCAUUAUCAGAAUCAAGAAUAGUAGUAGAAAUCGCUAAUUACAGGGUAACGAAAACUAUUCUCUUUUGAAACAAAUCAUUAAAAUAAUCUUUUGUCAAGUCACUCAUACCAGGGCUGUCAAUAACUCUUCUACCACUCACAUCUUCCAAAUACUAAAUACUAAAUACGAUUUACCUUCUUCCUAGACGUGUUGAUGCAUGAAAAAAAUCGAGUGUUGAGAUCCCCUUCCCCAUACCAAUGUGUCUUAGCACGUUGACGCCAGAACAUAUCAUCUUGAACCAAUAAGUACGUCAUCUGCUUUUGCAAAGCACUAACAUAGUUAGCAUUACUCUCGCCAACUUGAUCAUGAACUUAUAAUAAUUUUUUCAUGCAUUCUUCAAUCUUUUUUCUAAGGUUAUGACAAUGAGUUCUACUCCAUUGAGAUAGAUCAUCCGCACAAGCUUCAAUUCUCAGCAAAAUAAACAUAUCCGAAUAAUUAUUCCAGCACCGGUGUACAAUAUCAUCAAACUCAAACUCAAGACACCAAGCAUUUUCGAACUUAAACUUGCGAUAAGACGUACCAAAUCUCACAACAGGAUCACAAUCAAGAAGAAUAAGGCAGUGAUUUGAAGCAGGCCGCGCAACUAGUUUCUCCACCUUAGCAUUAGGAAACAUUUGAAACCUAGCUUCAUUAGCUAAAGCCAAGUCUAACCUUUCUUCAAUAGCACGGAGGAGGGUACCUAAACUCUUAAACCAAGUGAAAAGGGAUACCCUUCCAUAUGAACAUCUGAUAAUCCCUAUGAAGCACGGACACCGACACGACACCGACGCUCAUGAUUACAUUGAAUUAUGUCUUCNNNNNNNNNNNNNNNNNNNCCCUUGCGGUUUGAAACAUUUUUGCUAAAAAACUUCGGUUCGUAUUUACCGAAGCUAAAUAUUAGACCAUUUCGGUAACUGCAAACCGAACAUUAGCGUUUUCGGUACACAAAAAACGAACGUCAGCUUGUUCGGUAUCUGCGAAGCGAAAUGUCCUAGAUUUCGGUACGUUGGUCGCUGGAAUUAGGUCAUUUUCGAUAGAAGUUUACCGAAAUAAUUGUUUCGGUACCUGCGAACCGAAAUGUACCAGAUUUCGGUAAGUGGUUACUGAAAUUUAUCAGAAUGUCAGCUUAUUUCGGUUCGUAUNNNNNNNNNNNNNAACGGAAAUUCAGGGGGUAGAAAAGAAUUGAGGGGGGUUGGGAGAGAAAGUAUCUCUCCAAACACAUGGACAUGGACUCAUGCACAGAACACACUUGCACACACAUUUUUUACUUUUCUUUUUAGGAGGAAUCCAUCCAACGUUCACAUGACUUAUUACCACUAUUAAAUUUUUCACGCUUAUUAAAUUUUUUGCUUCGACUUGUCCUAUGAACUCUGUUUGCAGGAUUUUGCAUUAUACAUGAAGGGUGUCGGGGUUGGAUAUCGGUCAUGCCACUUAUCAAUAACUAAAAACUAUGACUCAUUAGAAGUAUCGAUCAAACCACAUUCUUUUUCUUUUAACCUUUUGUUGGGGAGUUUGGGGCCAUUCGGAAAAAACGAAUCAAUGUUUUAGGACAAUAAAAGAGUAAGAUGUCACCAAUAAUUAUUGGGUUUCAAUUGUGAGUGGUUAAGUCGGAAAUCGACUAUGAAUGAGAUAAAUGUUACACCAGAAUAACCACAAUUAAAAUUUGUUUAAAUCUAUAUUCUCUCCGAUUUUUUUAUAAGAAACAGCUCACUUUUUAAAUUCAUUAAUAACUGAUGUAUUUUGUCAAUAUUUGUUUGGUUGUGAUUAAAUUUCUAAUUGAACCAAAACCAAAAUAUUUGUUUGGUUGUGAUUAAAUUUCUAAUUUAACCAAAACCAAACAAUUAUUAAAUUAGCGGGACCCAAUUAGGAAUGAUACUCUUAAAAUUGAGUUUCGGAUUUAACUCAUCCUUACAAAAUCGGCACCCCUUCACGCCCAGCACUAUUGGGCUAGGUGCAUGGAUAUAAAUGAUGGGAAAUUUUUUUUUCUAUCCCAACAAUUGUCAAUCUACCCCAAUAUUAAUUUUGAAUGGACGAAUUUGCCCUCCUAUAUAAACUAAAACCCUGAAGAAAAAAAUUUGGUUACCGGAACACUUUGGAAAAAAGUGUUCUGAUAUGUAAAUUUUUUUUUGUUACCGGAACACUUUGGAAAAAAGUGUUCAGGUAUAUAAAAUUUUUCUAAUUUUUUUUUUACCUGAACACUUUGAAAAAAAGUGUGUAGGUAUGUAAAAUUUUUCCAAAUUUAUUUUCUUACCUACACACUUUGGAAAAAAGUGUUCAGGUAUGUAAAAUUUUUCUAAUUUUUUUUUUGUUACCUAAACACUUUGAAAAAAAGUGUGUAGGUAUAUAAAAUUUUUUCAAAUUUAUUUUGUUACCUACACACUUUGGAAAAAAAUGUUCAGGNNNNNNNNNNNNNNNNNNNNNNNNNNNNNNNNNNNNNNNNNNNNNNNNNNNNNNNNNNNNNNNNNNNNNNNNNNNNNNNNNNNNNNNNNNNNNNNNNNNNNNNNNNNNNNNNNNNNNNNNNNNNNNNNNNNNNNUAAAUUUGGAAAAAUUUUACAUACCUACACACUUUUUUUCAAAGUGUUCAGGUAAAAAAAAAAUUAGAAAAAUUUUAUAUACCGGAACACUUUUUUCCAAAGUGUUCCGGUAACCAAAUUUUUUUCUUCAGGAUUUUAGUUUAUAUAUGAGGGUAAAUUCGUCCAUUCAAAAUUAAUGUUGGGGUAGAUUGACAAUUGUUGGGGUAGAAAAAAAAAAUUCAAAUGAUGGAUGUUCCGAUAACAAAAACCUGAUAACAUGUGGCCCAACGGAUCGUGGAGAGCUCUGAUGCCAUCUUAAAAUUGAGUUUCAAAAAUAACUCAUCCUUAAAAAACCGAUGUGAGACUUCUUAACCUAUACUCUCAAUUUCUUUUAAAAAGUGGCGACUAGAAAUUUUAGUCAAGUUUUACAAAGAAUAAUAUAUUUUAACUAUAACUAUAAUAAUAAUCGACUAGAAAGAUGAAGAAUUGCAGUGACAAGUUACAUACCUCAUGAUAACGUAUACCUCACGAGAAGGACCCAGAUCAUGUGAAGUACAUGACUGCAUGCAGUCGUGUAGUAACGCGUUUUAGAUCGUCUGAUUUUGAUUAAACGGUCCAUGAUAAAGACAUAUUUUACUUUUAAACUAUUUGAUCUUAGACGGUAAAAAAACGUGUGAUUGCAUGAUAUGGAUCCCUUACAAAAAAUAAUUUGAUGUAUUUUGUUCAAAAUUUGGACUAAAUGCAUCCGCUUUUGUUGACCAAUUUUUUAUUAUAUUUUGGGACGGGGAAAUACUUAUAUUUAAGGGUAUUCAUGGUUAUAGAUAAUCUGUUUAAUCUGAUGACCCAACCCAAACUAACUUGCAUUUUUCCUGAUCCAUUCAUCUUUAAACAGAUUGGGUAGCAAUUUGGCUAAAAUCGACCCAACCCGACCCACCUAUACCCCUUACAUUGAGACAAUACAUGAUUUAAAACAAAAAAACAAAAUUGAAGCAACUAGAGAGGCAAUUAUGGGCAAAUAUGAACAAAAGUGAGACUUCUUGAGUCAUGGCCUACCGAACUCCACCUACUCCGUUCAAAAAAGAACACAAAAUUAACUCAUUACAACUCUAUCUCAUCCUAAUACAUGGCCGCCUCAGCAUGAAUUCAAGAUCGCAGCCAAACAAGACACAAGACAAUGCAUUGUUUUUUCACUGUUUCAUGUUAGACCAUUAUAUUUUGUUCAACAUUUGAAACAUAUAAAAAAGGUUCAUACUAGUUUAUUUUUACAUAUCCAUUUCCACCAAAACAUAAUAAUACAUCAACAAAGUACAUAAACAAGAGAAUACAAAUGGAUUUUAGUGCAAAUGGUUCUGAAGAAACUGAACUGUAUCAUGCUCAAAUCCAUUUGUAUAAACAUGUAUACAACUUUGUAAGUGCCAUGGCUCUCAAAUCUGCUGCGGAACUUGGCAUAGCUGAUGCAAUCCAUAACCAUGGAAAACCAAUGACUCUUACUGAAUUAGCUUCAUCUUUGAAACUCCACCCUUCUAAAGUUAACAUCCUAUAUCGAUUUUUGAGCCUGUUAACACACAACGGUUUCUUCGUUAAAAGCAAAGGGGAAGAAGAAGAAAUAGCUUAUGCUCUCACACCAUCUUCAAAGCUUCUCAUAAGUGGGAAAUCAACAUGUUUAUCAGCACUUGUUACAGGAGCACUUCAUCCAAAUUCUAUAGACAUGUGGAGCUCUACAGAGAAAUGGUUCAAUGAGGAUAAGGAACAAACUUUGUUUGAGUGUGCAAAAGGGGAGAACUAUUGGGAUUUUCUUAACAAAGAUUCUGAUAGAUUGAGUAUGUUUCAAGAUGCUAUGACUGCUGAUUCGAGAAUGUUCAAGCUUGCUCUUAAAAAGAACAAACAUGUGUUUGAGGGUUUGGAGUCUCUUGUUGAUGUUGCCGGUGGAACUGGUACAGUCACAAAACUCAUCCAUGAAGCUUUUCCUAACAUCAAAUGCACUGUUUUUGAUCAACCACAGGUUGUUGGUAACUUAACCGGAAAUGAAAAUUUGAACUUUGUUGGUGGUGAUAUGUUCAAA
rnacentral:lncRNA from 1 species